GCGGACAGGGAUAGCAAACAAGACGUAGGAGUUUUGCAGGAGUUUAGCAGGAAGUGUGAGGGGGAGCCUGGAACAAGCCCCUGCGAUCACAAGGAGCACAAGGAGCCGGGUGGAGAAGAGAACGUGUACCCAUUGCUAAUGCCAUGAGUGGCAGCUCUUGCAAGAGUUCGUAAGCAAGAUGCCAGUAGGGGAAGAGGAAAGCGGCAGCACCGGAGCUGGCCUGGAAGGGGGCAGAGCAAUGCAGCAGCAGUGCAUGCUCAUUGGCCACUGCCACCAGACAGGAAAGGAGGAGGAAGAGGAAGAACUUGCCUUUCUGCUGGCUGGCUAGAGAAAUGGCUGACCUACAGGCCUGCACUUGUGCCACACCAGUGGACAGUCGUUGUCAUUACCAGAAGACAGUAGCUGCUAACAGGAAACUGCUAAGCAAAAUAAAGGAGAAGAAGGUCAGAAAGCAGGGUAUAAGUGAGAGUGAAAGAGAGAAGGUGGGUGCAAGUUGAAAGUUGAGAAAGGGCUGAAUGCACUGGGCUGCAGACAUCUCUUAUGUUGAACUCUGAAUCUUUACCUUUGGGCACCAUAAUAUCAUUUGUAAUGAAAGAAUGUAAUCUUACUACUUUGUGAACCUUAAGUUGAAUAUGCAACUUUUGUGCAUGUUGACUGAACCUCUGUAUCCUUCUAAAGUCAAUGGCAUUUUCCUUUAGCAGUCUA